CAGUCUUGGCUUCAUUAUGUGUUGAGCAAUACGUACUGUGAUGUCUGAUGUUGGUUGUCAACUUGACUGGAUUGAGAAGCACUUGGGCAAUUGGUGAAAAACACACUUCCGGGUUUGUCCAUUAAGGAGCACCUAGAGACAAAGGGUAGGAUGAUUGGCAAACUGAGUGAGGAAGAGUACCCUAAGUGUGGGCACCGUACAGGCCAUGGGCCUAUAAGUUGGGGGCCAACAUGGAACAAAAGCUAGAAGGAAACCCACGCACCAGCCAUGUCCAGGUCUUUUUGAGUGGGUACACUGCAUUUUGCUCUGUCAAAGACCUGGAGAUCACACUCCAACUUCUUCAGCCUUUACAGGAGGACUCACCCCAGCCACUCUCCAGGAGACUUCCAGGCUUCCAGCCUUGGAAUGGAUUCCAAUAUUCAGGCUGGAAUUGCUGACAAAAGAGAUCUUGUUCCAGGAAAGUUGGCAAUGGUAUUUAACAAUAUUUAACAAUCAGACAAUGGACUGUUGACAUUUAAGCCAAAUGGUAAAACGUUG
rnacentral:lncRNA from 1 species